UUCCUAACUUUAUUUUUUUGAGUUACUAUUUUUUGGUCCUUACUCAAGCACAAAAGAAGAACAGUUUUUAAUCUAAUGGUCAAUGUUCUAAGGAGCAAUUUAAAACAAGUCAUGGUGUAGGGUGUUAUGCAUGCUAAUGAAGGCAUUGAUGUCAAUGAGAUUGAUGAUAUAAUAAUUACAUGAAUGAAAACCAUCUUAGCUUUAUGGAUAGAUCU
rnacentral:lncRNA from 1 species